AGAGUUUGAUCCUGGCUCAGAUUGAACGCUGGCGGCAUGCCUAACACAUGCAAGUCGAACGGUAACAGGUCCUCGGGAUGCUGACGAGUGGCGGACGGGUGCGUAAUGCGUAGGGAUCUACCUCGUUGCGUGGGAUAGCCUAGGGAAACUUAGGGUAAUACCGCAUAAGUCUUACGAGAGAAAGCAGGGGACCGAAAGGC
rnacentral:rRNA from 1 species